rnacentral:rRNA from 1 species
GAUGAACGCUAGCUACAGGCUUAACACAUGCAAGUCGAGGGGUAACGAGAGGAAAGCUUGCUUUCCUUGUCGACGACCGGCGCACGGGUGAGUAACGCGUAUCCAACCUGCCCCCAACUAGGGAAUAACCUUGCGAAAGUAAGACUAAUACCCUAUAAUUUCCUCAGAUGUCAUCUGACGAGGAAUAAAGAUUUAUCGGUUGUGGAUGGGGAUGCGUCUGAUUAGCUUGUUGGCGGGGGAACGGCCCACCAAGGCAACGAUCAGUAGGGGUUCUGAGAGGAGGGUCCCCCGCAUUGAAACUGAGACACGGUCCAAACUCCUACGGGAGGCAGCAGUGAGGAAUAUUGGUCAAUGGGCGGAAGCCUGAACCAGCCAAGUAGCGUGCAGGAUGACGGCCCUAUGGGCUGUAAACUGCUUUUAUACAGGAAUAAAGUUAGCCACGUGUGGUUAUUUGUAGGUACUGUAUGAGUAAGGACCGGCUAAUUCCGUGCCAGCAGCCGCCGUAA